CUUACGUCCGGGGCGACACACGUGUUACAAUGGCAGGUACAGAGGGCAGCUACCCAGCGAUGGGGUGCGAAUCUCGAAAGCCUGUCUCAGUUCGGAUCGGAGUCUGCAACUCGACUCCGUGAAGUUGGAAUCGCUAGUAAUCGCGGAUCAGCAUGCCGCGGUGAAUAUGUUCCCGGGCCUUGUACACACCGCCCGUCACACCAUGGGAGUUGAUUAUACCCGACGUCGCUGGGCUAACUUUUAGAG
rnacentral:rRNA from 1 species